UUUAGGCCAAACACAAACGCUUUCUGGGGCAUUCUGCACACCUGACUAAUGUGCGCUUCACUAAUGGAGAUCGCUUCGUCGUUAGUGCUGGUGGAGAUGACCGAAGCCUCUUUGUAUGGAGGUGCGUCCAUGCCCCUCACUGAGGACCACACCUGCCUCGGAAAGUCUGGGCGUCUCCCAGCAUGAGAAACGAUUCUGCUUAAGGACGCAUUUAAACGAGGAGGAGGAGGAGGACAGACCUGGCAGCUUGUAAAUGGAGUGGCGAUCUGACUUACUGCCUCAAAACUAGGUGCAUGCAUAUGUGCAAGGCUCAUUUUCAUCACAGCAUCAGUCUUGAUUGUGAACACAGGCAGAGGGUAUACAGCCCUGCUCUCACGACAUUCACAUCAUCAAUGAAAAAAAUACAUCUCUCUAAUACAG